AUGUGCCUACCCAACAGUGAAUAUGCCACUGGAAGUGCCUCUGUGAGUAUGUUCGCGAAAAUGAACUGCGCAAGGAUGGCUCACAGGAUAGCAGCAGGAGCUAAUGAACGUCUUUGAACCGAUGGCAAGCUCGGACUUCUUCGUGUUGAUCCUGGAAGCAGGCAGGCAGGCAGGCAGACAGGUAGGCUACCGACAGCGAAGCUGACUUGUCUCCUUGUCGGAUGGGUCGAGUGAUCGUAAUCCCGGAAGCGCCUAAGAAGGAAAGUGGAAAGAUGCAACCAACGCAAAGAAGACCGAAGCUAUGGAAAUGAGUGAAUUAUAAUGACACGAAUGGAGUCACAGGCAGCAGUGAUGGGUACUAUCAGCUGUGCUGGUGGUAAAAGCAGUCAGCGGCCACAUUAGUGACACUGGCUAAAGAAACUUUUGCAAUUCUGCCCGGCUACUAUUUUCUUCUACUGCUAUCAUCUGUGCUGUCCGUUCGUUUCUCCUGCUAGCUUUUGAUCAAAGCUCUUAUUCGCUAGCGUUCUCCCGCGGCCCGCGUACGACUAUGAGCAGCAAGUCGUCACAACGAUUCGACUAGGGUCCAGUGUAAUUGUUGUAGCUGCCAUUGCUGCACUACGGACACCAGGAGUUGGUCCGUCAAUCCAUGAGCAUUACGGUUGUGGAUAAAACGCGCAUCAAGCAGCGAAGAUCUCUGCCGAGUUCUGUUAGCAUCUUGUUUUUCUAAACAGAGAUGCAUCUUGUUUUUAGAAGCUUGCCUCGUCUCCGACUUGCAGUAGUGCGAACAGAGCAUCUGCUUAAUUGUAGCUUCCAUAUGACGUUUUCGAUGAUGCCUUUUGACGUCUACGAGACUGUACGCCCGUUUGUCCUAUACCCAGUAAUAAUAUAUAACUGUCGGCUGCGGCAAAAGGACAAGGUCCGCUGUUUGCGUUACGGUAACGUGAUUUUCUAGUAACGGGACAGUUCAGUGCCUCUCUUUUUUUUAUCAUUAAUCCCCUCCGACUCUUUAACUCUGCAUUAUUCCACUGCUGUGAUUCUGUAGUAUUAACGCAUACGCUAUAUUGAAAUUUUUCGAUUGUUUUUCAUCGUUAUGACGAGUUAUUACGCGAACAGAUGCGAGUAUUUUUGUAUAUUGUACAUCUCAACUAGCGGAAGCACGCUCUAUGAGUGAAUUUCUAACAACAAGCAACAUUGAAACGACUAUUUUAAAGCAUGAGAUUCAGUGCAGAUUCUCCGACAGUUUCUAAAGAGAUCCGCGAAGUAGCGAAUGCCAAAUUGUUUGGCUAUGUGCCGCAAAGCACACUGUCACAGCCGAUAAGACCUUUUAUGGAAUUUUCUAUUUCAGAAAUCAUUCGGAUUUCACUAAGGACGUACGCGUUUCUAAUAGAACUCGUCUGAAGUUUCAUAUCUGAUGGCCUCACCUGCUCAAAAAGACCACAAGCAUAGGAGUCAAAAUACGCUUGAAUCUAAUCGACUUUUUCAUAGGUUAUUACUAAUAGACAACAUAUCAGAUACACGCCCUAAUUAAACCUGUCGUAAAAGCUCUAAUGCAAAACCCCGAACCUGCUUGAGGUACGAACAUUGAAUGUACACUGAGAAAAAAAAAAUAACUUAGGACACUUUCUUACCUGACCCUAGAUAGAUCUAUCGCACCUCGACACAUUUGUAUAUAUUACACUGGCUAAUCCCUACAAGUCAGAGAUUAGGAUUCUCAAUAGAAAAAGGUCUUGGGCUGGUUCGAUUACUGAAGCAGUUGUACGAAUCUAGUGACAAUUGGAAUAUAUUGCAUGGUAAUUCUCAUUCAAUAAAUAUAUAGCAUUCAGUAAUAUAGUCAAGAUAGUCGGUACAUAUGAUGGUUUUCGUGAGGACUAAAGCCACUCAGUCAGUAUUAGAACAUUCACAACGGAUCUAUUAUCCACAAGAUGGCGAGCUGGUAUGUUAAUGUUUUGUAGGUAGGAAGUGUAUCAUAUGGUAUUCAAGCUGGCCCAAAACAACUGAUUUCAACGACGGUCAGUUUCAGAAAUGUGCAUAGACGGUGGCACGUUUAUGCAAAAUAAUGGAGUUCGUUCGGACGUAUGAUCUUGGGAAUGUUGCUUAGCGGCGUGUCGGCGGGAUCACUGGAAGCUAAGCUUGGUCUGCGUACAUUACGUGCACUCGAUGAUGGCGUUCUUUCGACCAUGGACAACAGUGUCCUAAUUUUUCGUGCUAGGAGACAACGCUCUAAAAAACAAUGACAACUAGAAUAGAUAGGUGUCAAGUCCCAGUAAAGGGCUUAUUGUUGAGAAUAGAAAUUAAUGUAGUCUGGACGAUGUGUUUUGGCACAGCAGGCAUGUUAGCCUAGGUUAGCGAUGGGAAGCGUAAAUUAACACUAUUUCCCUUAUCCAUUUCCAAAUAUUUCUUAACAAGGAUAAAACAUACGGCUAGAGUGAUUAAUAAUAGAAAAUUGGCUUUUUUCGCGUAUAGGUAGCAGCUGACAACAAUGAAGCCCGACCAGCGUUUACACGAGCCGUUGCGUAUUGAUGAUGCUUGUCCUACUGGCGCCGCUGUUUCGUACAUGGCUAAAUGAUUAGUUUCGAUUUGAUGCCCUUUGUUCAGAAGUAAGCAAUUUAAUGGCGCUCAAAUUAUAAAAGCCCGUAGCUUAUGCAAAAAGCCGCGUACAGUAAAUAACAACGAGCAACGACAUGAUAAUUUGUUUAAUUCCUAUCGAUCAUAGCAAAUUUCUGCUGCAAUUUUUUGGGAUGCUCGAAAAAGUGGGGCGCGACUUCAGAAGCGUUUAGCGGAAGUUGGCAGUGAAAUGAGCUGUUCGACUUUGUUCUCGUUUUUUAGAUAGUACAAAUUACGAAUUCUCAGAACCAUACGAACAACGUUUUGGCAUUUAUAAGACAGAGUCUGUCUGUGCGAAUUUAUCGAAGUGCCUUCUUACAAGAAUUGUGCACAACGGUCAUAUAGAAGCGGUUAGCCGCUGCUAGUAAAAUUUUCACUACAAAGGCUUAUGAAACACCAGGGAUUAUAACUGUAGAAGAAAAAAAUGAGUUAACGUUUACAGAAGAGUUGCGCGUACGACUGCCAGGUUAUUUGCUAAUUCUGUUGGAAAGUAGGUUCACCAGGACCCGUUUCAGUUAGAUCCCUCCAGCAAGAUAAGUCCUCGACCCUAUGUCAAAAAGAUGAUUAUGAAAAUUGCUUACCCAGAAAGGCUAAUUACCGGAAAGCUGAUGAGUGAAAAAUAAGCGUUAAUCCUGCAAAAGCGUCGCAUUUGAAUUAAACAGGUAAGGUACGCGUCUGAGGGAGAGGAGUUUCUACAAAACUCUUUACUUAAAACUAGGGGCGGCCCCGCUGCUUCGUCGUCGAUCCUUGUAUUGUUCUCCUGCACUAUACUUACUGAAAGGUUAAAAAGAUUCUUUGGAAUAGCCGAAAGCAUUCCCGUGUAAACACCCGUUAAAGCAUGUCGCCCAACAAGGAGCCAGUGACCGUGACGUUUUAAGGUUUGCACCAUCGAUCCUGUUCGGAACGUCUGCUUUGAGUUUUUAGGAUCUCCCGCAGGUAAGACUACCAUCCAAGUAAGUUACACUUCCUUGUCGUUACCUUAUCUUUGAUUACUGUGGCUAGCCACUGCUAUGCGAGGUCUAUUAAAUGCUGCAAACGUUCUGGCAAAAGAGGGUGGUUAUAUUUAUCAGUCAUGUCGUCUGGCUGCGGUGUGUUACGAGAUUAUUCUCUUUUAUGUUCAGCAUGUGAUGGUUGAUUCUACGAUAAAAAGAGAGAGACACUUUUAUGGGAACUUCUAACUAUACGAGCUAAACAGAUGUCUGAGUAGAAGCCCGGGACACGUCAGCCAGGUUUCUAUUAGUACCAGAAUGUCUGUCUGAUCAAAGACUGACGGCGCGAGUUCUGCUAGGGUUGAACAUCGUCCUAGUCCAAAGUCCCAUCAAUGAGCGGUCAUAUUAAGGAUUCCGUAAGCAAUCGCGAAUAUGGUUGCGUAAGCAAUGAUGGAGAAUCCCGGUAACUGAUAAAGCCAUCUGUGUGUCCACCGCUUAGAAAAAUUCUGGCCACCCUACGUUAUCAUUGGCACCUUGUCAAAUGUCAUUUCCGAUCAACGAUUUAUUGCCCUCGUACGGGGGCCGAUCUUGACCAACCCCUACGGAACUGAUUAUGAUUAGACUGUCACCGUCUUGCCCUGAGACGACGAUUGCACUACGGAACAUCUUGUUCUGCGAACAUUUGAGUCGCCGACGACUCUGCUAUUCGAUGUAUUCGGAAAAACUCUCUUGAUUUUUAGAUUUAAAAAAAAGUUCAGUUCUUCAAAUAAUUCUGAAGGCUACUUCAUUAACCACUUAUAUCGGUAACUAUAUGUAACAACAGAGCGUCAUUUCGCGUUCUUUUAAGCGGCUUUUUUCGCGAGAAUAUCAUUUGCCUUGAUUGAAUACGGGAGCAAAUCAAGCAUGGAUUUCAGAACCUGCUUGUAAAAUGAUGACAAGUUUCUUGGCUUCGACCACCGCACUGUCGCUGAGCAUAUUCGACGCUUCGCGCAAGAAGCAAGUUACUUCUAGGAUCUGCCUUUACCAACUUGGAACAGGUACUUUUUAAAUCGACGGUAAUAUGAAACACUGAUUCUUCACACGUCACGAGCUGUGCCUGCGGCCCCUUUUCCCACACCGUAAUACCCAGAAGUGAACGAGGAUCUCAGCUGAAUCUAUAUUACUGAAAAUCUCCCAGAUAUCCUUUCUAAAGAUGAAUAUUGCUUCCUUGAGCAAAAAAAAAUCUUCGUUUUUAGGAGAACUCAUCUGAGGAAGCGGCUUUCGGCCGUUGCCCGAUAUUCAUAGUUAUUGCCAAGGGAAUCGAAAUAACUUCGGCGAUUUCUGAUUUGAGACUCUUCUAACUCCACUUAAAGAUGUGGUCUGCUUAACGGUUGCGUUUGCCUAUUGCGACGAUGCAAUGAAGAAAACAUAUACAAAACUCGACCUGGAAAAGUCGGUUAUAACGGUAAAGUUAGUCUCCGUUGCUACACUUCAGUAAAACAGAUAAAUAGGAAUUGUUGUCGAUCAUCUUUGCUAUCGCUGCAAUGCAGCUGAAUAUAUUUUGACAGAAAUUUUUCACUGGCUACUGCUACUAGUGCUGCCAUUCAAUCAGUGCGAAAUAAUCAAUAAGAAAAUUGAACUUUAUAAAUCGUAUAAUAGGAACAGAUAGAUAACAAGUAGCGUCAGGCGAGUAUCAAUAUUUGGAAGAGCCAUAUUUGGAACAAGCGCUUUAAGACCAGAUCAUCAAUCGUACGGAUGAGUAAUAGCAUCUCUGCGGUGAGAAAUAGUGUCGAUGCCGAUCCGAAGACCUCAACACGACUCAUUUUCAAGUAAAAGUCGUAUCUGCGUUUCAAGAAGAAUUAGUUAUCAUCACCAUUAAGGACCAAGGGCCAUCACAAACGUUGUUUGUUCGUUGAUCUCAUGUUGAAGGACGUUCGAGAAACUUCUUUGAUUAUCGUAUAAUCUUCUCUGCCGAAACUCAUUUUCGACAAAUGUUUCAGUUUGGAGCGUCGAGCGACCACUUCAUUCACAAAGAGUUGCUAUAUGAUGCGGCCUGUGGAGCAAAAAUGUCUCUAGGCCAUGUCCCUUCGGACAUGACGAUGGAACAGCUAAGAUAGUCGGUGGCGAGCUCGAUUGCAAUAUACUGCAAACCUUUUUUGUGACUUGAAGUGGUGAUAUUGGACACAAAUAAUUAUCGAUUUCAAUAAGGUAAAGCACUUCGCCACGAAGCGUGGGAAACAAUCAAUCUACUCGAAAUUAUGUUCCCAGGCCGGCUGAUCUCGAUGCGCGGCGGUAACAUCAAGUGGCCGCCCAGCUUCUGUAAUUAGAUCUUUGAUUUUACUUUAUGGGAAUAAGUGAAGAGCAGAGUUUAUAACAUAACACUUAAAAUAAUUCACAAUGUAAAACACAGGAUUUGUGAAAUGACUGAAAAGAUUAACGCUCAGCUGUGUAAGGUUGUGAGUGAAAAUUACGCAAAAAAUUGAGUUAUGCGAGUGGUCCCUGACAGGACAUUUAAUUACCAUGAUGUUUCAUGAACAUAACAAAUGA